GAUGAACGCUGGCGGCGUGCCUAAUACAUGCAAGUCGAGCGAACAGAUGAGGAGCUUGCUCCUCUGACGUUAGCGGCGGACGGGUGAGUAACACGUGGAUAACCUACCUAUAAGACUGGGAUAACUUCGGGAAACCGGAGCUUAUACCGGAUAAUAUAUUGAACCGCAUGGUUCAAUAGUGAAAGACGGUUUUGCUGUCACUUAUAGAUGGAUCCGCGCCGCAUUAGCUAGUUGGUAAGGUAACGGCUUACCAAGGCAACGAUGCGUAGCCGACCUGAGAGGGUGAUCGGCCACACUGGAACUGAGACACGGUCCAGACUCCUACGGGAGGCAGCAGUAGGGAAUCUUCCGCAAUGGGCGAAAGCCUGACGGAGCAACGCCGCGUGAGUGAUGAAGGUCUUCGGAUCGUAAAACUCUGUUAUUAGGGAAGAACAAAUGUGUAAGUAACUAUGCACGUCUUGACGGUACCUAAUCAGAAAGCCACGGCUAACUACGUG
rnacentral:rRNA from 1 species